AGUGGAUCAUUGGUAAUGUUGGACUGUAUUUGUAUUGACCAGGACUUCAGUUGUUCCUUAGAGAAAAUCAGUUAUAAUUCUUUGUUUUACUUUUCCCAGGAGAUUCUGCUUUCUGCAGAAGUGGGGUUCAAUCUUAUCAGGGGUGCCGCUGCUAAUUCCCAGCUAACACUGACUGCUUCUGAUGAACCAGCGAGCCUGCAGUGGGGCCCUGAGAAGAGUUCGAGCAAGUUUCCAGCGCUGCUGACACUGCUGUCAAAUAGCCACAACUUGAGAAGCACUGCCUUGGAGGGACUCGCCCACAGGUGAAUGUCAGCACCAUAGCUAGCCUGGUGAGCUCAGCACCCACUCCCAGCCCAAGCUCCAUGGCAAAGGCACACACCAAAUGAUGGGCUGCGCCUUCUUCAGCUGAGGGCUGAGGGCGCCAUCAGCAGUGGAUCGCGGAGCCACCCCUUCCUGAGGCCUCACCACCACAUCUCCAGGCUCUCCUAGGAGCUUUGGGAAUUAGCAGCUAACUGCCCCAUCCUCACUCAAGCAUCUCAGCUUCAGGCUCCUGUGGGAGGAAGCCAGGCAUGUGGAGAGCAAUAAAGAUUCCCUUAGAGGAGCCCCUUGACCUAGAAGAACGGAGAGGGCAGUCCACUAGAAUACCAAUUUGGACACUCAACCUGAGUCCAUGUCAUGAAUUCAUGGAUCUGUCUGGAGAUCUCCCAAAAUUUCUGAAGAUACAGAAGACCAACUAGAUGUUCAUAGGUCACCUUAAGCUUGAAAUCCUUCGUUAGGGCAAGGGAUAUAGGUUUUGGUUUCAUUCUGCAUCCCAGCAAGAUGGGACAGUGACCCUACUCAGCUGACUUUGUGGCCACUGCAGCACCUGAUGCAACAUCAGAGCCGGUAAGUGACCCCAAGACCACUCUGUCCUGCCCUCCGCCUAGGUCAUCAGGCUGCUGCAGGGUCUGUGCCUCCCUUGUGCAAGACCUGAGAAGGCCCCAUGUGGAACUCCAGGCUGAGGCAGAUAUGCCAGCCACACCCAGCAAGAGCACCACCAACCAGAAUAUGCCAUGCUCUCACUCUUCGGGGCCGUGUAGGGAUCCUUAACCCCUUCCGACCCCUUACCUAUGUGAGAUAAACACUGGACAACCCCACUUCCCCUACACCUCCCCAAUCACUUUUGUCCUGCUUUCUGCCCUUGGCUUCCAUCUGGAAAUCUGCUACCUCCAAGGAGCCCUGCUCAAGUCCCUUCUUGCCUAAUGCUUUCCUCACUCCCAAACCCUCAGGAGUAGCCCCUUCUCGGUCUCCUUGUUGAGCUCAGUAUUGGGACCAGGGUCCUGGGUAAAUACAAAUUCCCUGUGGCUCCAAGCCUUAUUACCAGAUCAUCCUCCCAGAAGGAUUAGGGACACCCUUGUACCUCACAAACAGCACACACAACCCACCCUGGAGCUUUCAGUCCUAAAGGCCUUUCUUUGAUAGCGCCACUGCCUUGCAGCUCUAGUGGGACAGACAAAUUCUGCCUGCCUUAGGAUAAGACUGAGGGGUCUGUCCUGCCUUGUGGUGGGACAUUCUGCCCCCCCCAUC